CCUCCUGCGGCUGGCGAUGGAUCUUCAUGUGAGCAUUGCGAGACUUGAUUUUGUAGAACAUCCUGCAGCAAGGAAAGAGAAAAGAGAAAGCCAGGAUUUAAAGAAGGCUUGGAAAUCUAAACCAUCUGUUGGCUCACCCUGAAGCCACACACAGAGGGAGUUUGUGUUGAAGCUUUCUCGAGUAUGACUGGUGCUACUCACUUGCCACACAGUUUGCAGGGGAAGAAGCUGGCCAAUGGAGGUACAGGAACUGCCUCCUCCAGCCCAAACUGUCUCUUCAUUGGCUGGUAGGUGGGCGUUAUCUAUGGAAACAAAACCAAUUGUAAGCUACCAUGCUCUGAAGGACUCAUUAAGCCACAUUCCACACUGGAUAAGCAUUUAAUGCAUUUAACUAAUUACACAAGACAAGAAUUUAUCCUUUCUUUUGCCAAGCACAUUAUUCUGUUCUCUUUGUUUCUGUUUGUUUAUGUUUUAUGAGUCCCAUCUCUUGGGGAUGAGAAUGCUUGACGCAUUAGAGAACCACAGAGUAGACUUAUCACCACAGCACAACAAGAAGAGCAAAAGGGAGAAGAUCAGAAAGAGACUGAGAAAGAGAGUUGUUGCUUCUCGAACAAAAAGAAACGUCAGUGGGCUUACACUUUUCUGCUGAUCCAUCUCCUCAUCUCUGUUCUCGUCCUCCUUCUGUUUCUUCUGCUUGUCCUGGAGCUUCUUGCUCAGUAGUGCAGACAGUGCAGAGCCAGCUCUGUGUUACUGCCCCCUCCUGGUAAACAGCUGGAACUACACAUGGACAACAGCUUCUCCACUGUCUCAUCCCACGGUUUCCAGAGCAACUGUUCCCGAGGGGAUUCCUGCUCUGGUGACCCCACCACUGAAUCCCCGUCACCCACAAAGCAUGGAGGGAGCUCUGCCUGGAAAUCAUGACCCACGUUGAUAUACCUGAAGAGAAGGAAAGGAGGACGAAGGAAAGAAAAGGAAGAAAGUGAAAUCCUGAAUUGGAAUGCUUAUCGAGAUCUACAACAAAAUACAAAGUUAAAACAAAGCCAAGGCAAAAGUCAAACUUUCCUUAGAUGUCAUGCUAACUACAAAUGUAACCAACAAAUCAAUUUUAUUUAAGGUAUUUUACUUACGGUA